rnacentral:rRNA from 1 species
UCCGGUUGAUCCUGCCGGCGGCCACCGCUAUAGGAAUUCGAUUAAGACAUGCGAGUCGAGAGUCUUCGGGACUCGGCGGACUGCUCAGUAACACGUGGAUAACAUGCCCUUAGGAGGGGGAUAAUCUCGAGAAAUUGAGGAUAAUACCCCAUAGGCCAUGAAUGCUGGAAUGCUUUAUGGCCCAAAGCUCCGGCGCCUAAGGAUUGGUCUGCGGCCUAUCAGGUUGUAGUGGGUGUAACGGACCCACUAGCCUAUGACGGGUAUGGGCCUUGAGAGAGGGAGCCCAGAGAUGGACUCUGAGACACGAGUCCAGGCCCUACGGGGCGCAGCAGUCGCGAAACCUUCACACUGGGGGAAACCCUGAUGAGGGAAUUCCUAGUGCCUGCAUUUUUUGUAGGCUUUUAUCUAGUGUAGAUAGCUAGAAGAAUAAGGGCCGGGUAAGACGGGUGCCAGCCGCCGCGGUAAUACCCGCGGCCCAAGUGGUGGUCGAUAUUAUUGAGUCUAAAACGUCCGUAGCCGGUUCAGUAAAUCUUUGGGUAAAUCGGCCAGCUUAACUGACCGAAUUCCGAAGAGACUGCUGAACUUGGGACCGGGAGAGGCCAGAGGUACUUCUGGGGUAGGGGUAAAAUCCUGUAAUCCUAGAAGGACCACCGGUGGCGAAGGCGUCUGGCUAGAACGGAUCCGACGGUGAGGGACGAAGCCCUGGGGCGCAAACGGGAUUAGAUACCCCGGUAGUCCAGGGUGUAAACGCUGCAGGCUUGGUGUUGGGGGUCCUUCGGGGGCGCCCAGUGCCGGAGAGAAGUUGUUAAGCCUGCUACUUGGGGGGAGUACGUCCGCAGGGAUGAAACUUAAAGGAUUUGGCGGGGGGG